rnacentral:lncRNA from 1 species
CUCUCGUAUAAAUGUCAGUUUGCUUUACUCUUAAAUUAUUGCCAGAGGUAUUCAGAAAACAGACACAAAAUGUAAGUCUUUAUUAUUACAACUUAAUUGAUCUGAAAGCUUCUUUUUAUUUACUUGAUUUUUCGUUUUAUUUUUGCUCCCUACACGUAUCAAUUGAGUUGAAAUAGUCGAUAUAUUUAACAUUAUAAUUAUUGAGAUUUUGUGAAAAUGGAUUUACAACCAUGCAUUUCAAUUUGAAUGCAUAGAAAUGUUUAGUAUUUAUUAAUUAUAUUAUUUUGUCAAGUAAAGAUGGUUUAAUUUCUUUACAAUACGUUUUUUAUUAAUAUGUUUAAAAAUAAAAAUUGUUUCUAAAAUACAAAAUUUACAACAUUUAUUGCUAAACUUUUUUAUUCGGUAUAUUUUAUUGGACCUGUGUUGAAGGACGCAGUGUAAUAGGGCGAGCCAAGAUCUUUGAAAAUCAUUUAAUAAGAUGGAAAAGUUAUUUUAUAAUUCAUGCAGAUGUUUUUUUUCGUUAUUUCUAUAACAUUUUUUAACAUUUAAAUUUUAGUAAAUAAAAUGUUCUUUUUACUACUUUUUUUGUAAAAUCUUUUAACACUGAUAAAAAGAAUGUUUCUUUCAAGUUGAGAACCUCCGCUCCUUUAAUUCCAUUCUUUGCAAUGUUGACUGUAUGUUUUAUAUCAAAAGUUGAUUACGUUUACAAAUAUAAAUUAAAAAAAUAAAUGUUUUGACUUAUCGAAGUGACAAAAAUUUGGCGACUUUAUGAACUUCAAGGCAUUUUUACAAGGUGCGUGUUUUUAUUUUUAAAAACGUUUUAUAUGUUAUAGUCAUUAAUAAAAGGAGAUUCGACGUGCACAUAAGUUGGCGAGAAACGUUUUACCACAGAGAAAUAAAAACAACAGUUAGAUACUUUACAUAUAUCUUAACCCGAAAUACAGAUCUAGAUGUAUUGAUAUUAAUUUCUAUCCGACUCAACUCAUUUGUUAUAAAACAAAAUGACGAUAACCACAGAGACUAUAUAGAACAUAGUGCGUUGCAAACACACAUUGAAUAAUUGAUUGCCGCUUACUUAGAACUAAUUGCAAUUAUUUCGGAACGAAAAUUUAACAGUUAAUACAAAAAGUAGAUUAAAAGAGGGACGAAAGAUACCAAAGGGACAGUCAAACUCAUAAAUCUAAAACAAACUGACAACGCCAUGGCUAAAAAUGAAAAAGACAAAACAGAAAACAAUAGUACACAUGACAGAACAUAGAAAACUAAAGAAUAAACAACACGAACCCCACCAAAAACUAAGGGUGAUCUCAGGUGCUCCGGAAUGGUAAGCAGAUCCUGCUCCAGAUGUGGCACCCGUCGUGUUGCUUAUGUGAUUACAAAUCCGGUAAAUAGUCUAAUUCGGUAGGUCACAUUCAUGAAAGGGAAGGGGAUUGUAGUUACGACGUAAGGAACAUAUCCGAUAUCAUUUGUGAAACGGUUAUUCCAUAGAUUACAUGUAUGCAAGGUAGAACGAUAGGGAAUUGCCACUGGGAACAAAGCUACAAACCAUCAUAGAGUAUUUAUUGUACAAAAGGUAUCAACUUUAAAGAACCGAUUGACAUGUGUUAUUAUAAAAACAUCACGAAAUCGGCAUGUUUAGAAAACAAUAUGUCUCUUAUGAAAAAAACAAAUUGAAGGUUUAUCAAAAGAAUGAAAAACAUGCAAUCUAAUGAAAUAUUUGUUAUUUUCAGGAUAAGAUUGUUUAUUUUCGUUUUGUUGGUCAGCGUUUACAGCUGUGUCCAUGCAAGUCCUGGGUCAGAUUUUUUAGGAAUCCUCGCUUGGACAAAUGGAGUUGACCUUGAAACAGUUCACACUCGCGAAGAAGCAUGCCAAUACAAAGAAGGUACAGAUUUCAACUUAGAAGAUUGCAUAAACGCAGUAAUUGAUAAGGUUUGUUCCGGGAAUUGCAACGGAAGAGGUCGGGAUGUUGUUUCAGCUGUUAUCUGGCAAGCCGUGUUGCAAGCCUCGGCUGAUGAUUUUUGUGCAAAAGCAGAAGAUGAAGAGGGUUGCGUCUGGCUGUUAUCUGAAUCAAAAGAUUGCGAGGACAAACGAUCGUUUAAUAUCAAAAAGUCUUCUGGAUCAGGACACGAUCUUCCACAGCUGCCACCAAAACCCAGUGAGAAGAGGAGCUUGAAUUUCGACAACUUGAAAAAUGCUCUCAAGUCAAACAGAGGUAGAAGUGGUUUAUUAAGGAAAAUGCUGAAUAUCAAAAAAUAACAUUGACGAGACUAUAGUGGACCCUGACGACCAAUAAACUGCGACACGGACAAUGAUUGUAUUGAUUGUAAUAAUAUUUUGGGGGACAUUUUGAAGGGGACUACAAAAAUACAGGGCUACUUUUGAUAACUGUAUGUGAUUUUAAAUUAAAAUGAAAUAGUUUUAAAGGCAUUUGUUUAAUUUAGUGUUUUUUAAGUUGAGAGAACAUGUAUUUUUAACAUGUUCAAUUGUGACGAAAAACUACAACAAACACACAAAAUGUAAAAAAAUCAUUAGCGUAGAAACGAACAAAAUCGAUUGGUUAUCUAUAUGAGAUGUGUAUAGUUUUGACAUUGAGUAUCAUUAAACAAUUGAAGAAGGUGAUAUGAUAUUUUCUUCAAAUUUUAACUGAUGCCUGAUACAAAAACUGUUAAUUUCAUAUUUGCUGAAUACAAAAAUAAAUGAGUGAAAACAUUAAGCUGAGAACUCGAG